rnacentral:rRNA from 1 species
GAUGAACGCUAGCUACAGGCUUAACACAUGCAAGUCGAGGGGAAACGAUAGAGAAAGCUUGCUUUUUCUAGGCGUCGACCGGCGCACGGGUGAGUAACGCGUAUCCAACCUGCCCAUCACUUGGGGAUAACCUUGCGAAAGUAAGACUAAUACCCAAUGACGUCUCUAGAAGACAUCUGAAGGAGAUUAAAGAUUUAUCGGUGAUGGAUGGGGAUGCGUCUGAUUAGCUUGUUGGCGGGGUAACGGCCCACCAAGGCGACGAUCAGUAGGGGUUCUGAGAGGAAGGCCCCCCACAUUGGAACUGAGACACGGUCCAAACUCCUACGGGAGGCAGCAGUGAGGAAUAUUGGUCAAUGGACGAGAGUCUGAACCAGCCAAGUAGCGUGCAGGAUGACGGCCCUAUGGGUUGUAAACUGCUUUUAUAAGGGAAUAAAGUGAGUCUCGUGAGACUUUUUGCAUGUACCUUAUGAAUAAGGACCGGCUAAUUCCGUGCCAGCAGCCGCGG